UAAAGGUUUAGGCUCAAACCAGACCAAAGGCCUUCAAAGCCUUAAGCAGGUGUCUAAGCACCUAACCUUU
ensembl:Mt_tRNA